GACGAACCGUGCGAACGUUAUUCGGAAUCACUGGGCUUAAAGCGCGUGUAGGCGGGAAUGUACGUCCGUCGCUGACAUCCCCCGGCUCAACCGGGGAAGUGGCGCGGAUACGGCAUUCCUGGAGGGGCGUAGGGGGACCUGGAACUUCCGGUGGAGCGGUGAAAUGCGUUGAGAUCGGAAGGAACGCCCGUGGCGAAAGCGAGGUCCUGGACGUCUGCUGACGCUGAGACGCGAAAGCUAGGGGAGCAAACGGG
rnacentral:rRNA from 1 species